AAGCAUAUAACGUCAUUGUGCUUAGGAGAGGCACAUAAAAUCACUAUGAUUUAGCAUACUGAAUAAAUAUAUUUAUAAUGUCUGUCUCAUGGCAUGAUUUAACUAGAAAGCACAAAACAUGAAAAAAGUCUUUGCAUUUCAUUUUUUAACAUGACUGAAAUUUAUUGCUGUUCAUCAACAGCUGAUGUUAAUGGCUGAUGAGACUAUGCAACCUGCUCAUUCUCAAAGGCGCUGUUUCACUGUGUCUUUAUGAAACUUGCAAGUUCAGGAUGUCUCAGAUGCAUCUCUCCAGUAUGGUGAUUAGGAAGCAUUGUGUGCGUGUGUCAUCAGGAGCAGUUUGGUUUGAUUUGAAGAAACCAGUAGUUCAUACUUAAAGGCAUACCUAUUUUCUCUAAUUGCCACAGGCAAAGGGGAGGUCCACGGCAGGAUAAAGAAGGUUAUUGUGACGGAUGAAAUAUAAUUCUCAAUGAGUAGUCUUUUCAUCUAGCUUUAAGGAACACAGGAUUACUUACAAGCUGAAUUUUGUGGCAGAAUGUAGGAGCUGAUUUAAAAAACAAAAAACAACAUCUAUAAAACAAAAACAAAAAAACCCAAGAAACCAGGGGGAAAAAAAGAAGCAGGUCUAUCUCUCUUUGGCUCUGGAGUGUUUAUUUUGUGUGUCUGUCUGGGGAUCGUAUUCUGUUUCUCCUAACAUAGAAGAGACACUGGCCAGGAGAGGGUCUGAGGAAACAGAAGGAAUAGGCAGAGAGGAAGAAACUUAGAAGCAACUAAAGGUGUUCCUUCCCUGUCACGGUGAAGAAAACGAGUUAGAUGGAUUUCUAGAUUCUUUGGCACGCACAUGCAACUCAUAUUUUUUCAACACACGUUUUUGCUGCAAAAGCCACCAUGUGUCUUUAGAGAAGAAAGAAAAACAUCUUGAAAGUUCAGAAGAGAAUCUACCUUCACACCCUGUCCACGUUGGUCUGGAAUGCCAGAGUUUCCAAUGGACAACCGUGAAUCAAAAGCUCCUUGUCCUUGACUGCUUUAUUUAUGUUUAACUUUUAAGAAAAUUAGUUGACAAUGCUAUAUCCUCUAACUUUUAAAACUGAAGUUAUUCGUGGUCAGUCGUUGUUCAUAUGUCUGAAUAGAAAAAAAAUGUAUUUUUUUGUGUGUUGAAGAGACUUUUAAGGAAUUAUACUAUUUUCUAUUGGCAGUGUUGAAUGCUAGUGAAAGAAAUUUGUUAGAUUUGAUGAAUUUCAAAGGAGUAACUAUUUGAGAACUACAUACAUAAAUAACAAAACCUUGUGAAUAAAGUUCAUGUGUCAAAAAAUAAAAAA